ensembl:lncRNA
UUUUUAUAACUAAGCUCCGUCAAACUAUUUAGCCAUCUGUUGACAACAUAGUGACCUUCAGAAAAUGACUACACUACUUCAGAAGUGAGACACAUUUACUUAAGAAAAGAUAUUUAUUUCUAAGAAAUGUACAGUAUUUUGAUCCAUUUGAAAACAAAUUAUACAUCAGUCAGAUAUGAAACGCCACUUAAAAUGAAGCAUACUGGUCUUUUUGUCAAAGCAAUAGAGGUAUAGAACAGUUUAAAACAACAGCACACAUAUUAAAACAAGGGGAAAAUGUACAAGUAAAACAAAUGAACUUAAAGAGCAAAUAAAUAUGAUUCACAUUUUAUCACAUUCCCCAUUGUGCAGAAAGAAGACAGCAGAAAAACAGAGCUGAAUGGACUAAGUCAUGUGAUACUGAUUCCACACAGGACACUCACAUACACCCAUCUGUACACUACAGGCUGUGCCACCACCUCAACUCUGGUUUUGUAUUGGUACAAAUUAAAUCUAGUAAUGUGACCUGAUCAGGCCCACUAAUUAUAGAAACAAUCAUCUGAAUGAAAAAGGUCUUCAGUGCAUCCUUCAAUGCCUUGUCUGCACACACUGUUACAAUUCCAGUCAAUGCUUAGAAACACAUUUUAAUAACACAACCAAAGUCCUGUGUGGCCAGAUACUUGUGUUAAGUAUUUUGCGAUUUCUAAAAACCUGUUUUUGUGGUCUUUCAUUAAUAAUUUUGUAAUAUACAAGCAAUUAUAAGUUACUUUACAGUGACACUGGCCCGUCAAAACUACAUAGCUAAAUAAUUUAAGAUAAGCCUACUGCAAUCACAUUUAAGUCACAAAGAUAACUUACAUGUGUCUGGCAGUAGAGGAAGUGGCUACUCACUGGCUCAAUGAGGUAGAUAUGUUUAGCAUUACAGAACUAAACAGAGAUGGAGAAAAAGGCAAAACUUGGCCUAAAUACAGACUACAGAAAGAUAGCACUGGUACUAAACUAAGACCAAUUUGAAGUUGAAAAAAGAAGGAAUGUGAAAUAUAACAUCAGAUAAGUUUUAAUAACCCUAACAGAGAGGUUGAUUGGAUUCUGUUAAAAAAGGUUAGUCAAUAGGAGAGGCGUAGUCAAAUUCCUGUGAACAAUUAAGAAAUGUACCCGUAUACAGCAAUUGCGCACCCUGAGAAAAAAUUCAGUGUUAAAAAAGGAAGCACUACCAUUUGAAGUCUAUGAACAAAACACAUACAUGAAAUCCAUUACCAUGUUCAUACUAUGGGCAUACACCAGCAAACAGAGCUCAUUACUAUCUGAAGAUUGUUGAACCCUUUUUGAAGAAGUACACUCAACAGUAAAAGUCAUUACAGAGUUUGGGACUGAGGAAAAACAAAUCACAUAUUCUUGAAUUCAUUUCCUCUGUAAAACCUCCCAUCUUAUGCAAAAAUAAAAACAGAAUGGAGAAGGUUGUGCUCAUAAGUAAAAUAAUAUAAAAUGUGGUGUUUGUAAAGGACUAUCCAAGGCCACGUUUCUACACCUAAUAGUGCAUUAUAGAGCGGGGUCUGGUGAAUACAGUGUGUGUCAGACAUUCUUCACUUGGAGGGCAGAAUUUGAUGCACAGAAUAAAAGUCUUUUCAGGAUGUAACCUUUCACAUGUUUUAUGUUCUACCCUGCUGCACUUCUACUUAACAUUCACACGUACAUUCACAAAGUAAAACAAGGCAUUUGUAAGGGGGGCCUUCAAGCUGGCUAGAUUUGUCAAAUAGUACCUCUUGUUAAACCUGAGUUAAUUAUAAAGUGUGGACUAAUGCAGUAAUAAAACAGUUUGUCUUCAUUAAAGUACUCAAAAGCUCUCAAAUUCUACAGAGUGGCAAAAUAUUCCACUGUAUCAGACAUGUCCAGUGUUGCUUAAGGCACAAUGGCCUAGUGGUUACAAAGAACAGUAUUCCUGGAUCCUUUGCAUCCCUGUCUGCUACAGGACAUGGGGCAGUAAAUGGCAGAAAGUCCCUUUCAGUGUAUCCCACAAAUAAAGUCAUGGCUCAUAAGCAUUUUCAUAUUGUUUCCAUAGGGGCAACAUCCAGUGUCACAAAUACAUGUGUUGGUGCUGAAGAUGCCCAAUUCCCUCUCCACAGUAUUUGCAGAGUCUAAAAAACAUACGUUAUAAAAAGGUAAAUAAUGGUUAACAAUAAUAAAG